rnacentral:rRNA from 1 species
CCUACGGGAGGCAGCAGUGGGGAAUAUUGGACAAUGGGGGGAACCCUGAUCCAGCCAUGCCGCGUGUGUGAAGAAGGCCCUCGGGUUGUAAAGCACUUUCAGUGAGGAAGAACGCCUGGUGGUUAAUACCCAUCAGGAAAGACAUCACUCACAGAAGAAGCACCGGCUAACUCCGUGCCAGCAGCCGCGGUAAUACGGAGGGUGCGAGCGUUAAUCGGAAUUACUGGGCGUAAAGCGCGCGUAGGUGGCUUGAUAAGCCGGUUGUGAAAGCCCCGGGCUCAACCUGGGAACGGCAUCCGGAACUGUCAAGCUAGAGUGCAGGAGAGGAAGGUAGAAUUCCCGGUGUAGCGGUGAAAUGCGUAGAGAUCGGGAGGAAUACCAGUGGCGAAGGCGGCCUUCUGGACUGACACUGAGACUGAGGUGCGAAAGCGUGGGUAGCAAACAGGAUUAGAUACCCGAGUAGUC